UACGUAGGGGGCAAGCGUUGUCCGGAAUCAUUGGGCGUAAAGAGCGUGUAGGCGGCCCGGUAAGUCCGCUGUGCAAGUCCAGGGCUCAACCCUGGGAUGCCGGUGGAUACUGUCGGGCUCGAGUCCGGAAGAGGAGUGUGGAAUUCCUGGUGUAGCGGUGAAAUGCGCAGAUAUCAGGAGGAACACCAAUGGCGAAGGCAGCUCGCUGGGACGGUACUGACGCUGAGAACGCGAAAGCGUGGGGAGCAAACAGG
rnacentral:rRNA from 1 species